GCGAUUGGGAACGUGGACACGCCGGAGCCUGGAUGCAGAAGGGCGCGCGGGAACAGGGAGCUGGUGCGCGAGCCGCAGCCCAGCGUCCAGGCCGCCCCACUCUCUGCUGAUCCAAAGGACUAGGGAAACCCUGCGCGCCGACGGUGGCCUGGACGUUGGCGCGGGCCCUGGCGCUAAAAAACGGAUCCCAUUUCCAGAAAGGCGGGCCGGGUAUCCCGCUCCUGCCUCCUGGAGAAUUAGCUCGGCGGAGGUCGACCAGCCGGGUAGGGAGGGAGGGAUGGAGGGACAGGCCUAGGGUCGACCAGCCGGAUAGGGAGUAGCUUCUGGGAGCUCCCUUGCCUACGGAGGGCCGGUGAGGCUGCCCUCAGAGCGCCGCCAGGGAAACCUGGUCUUGGCUUCUGCUGCGCGCCGGGUGUCUAGGAACGAAUCCCUCCUGGAUCCGGGAACCCCAGAUUUGCGGGGUUAGGAGAUACCCUCAGAGUUGUGGUUUUUUGUUGGUGGUGGUUUGUUAAGAGCCUGGUAGCUGAACUGGAGCGGGCCCCGUCCCCUCCCCCAUACCCACUUCAAACAAAAGAGCUCCUCCGAGAAUAUUUUUUAAGGGGAAAGCGCUUCUGAAUGUGGACCCUCAGUUCUCCCCGCCCCCCGUUCCGAGGAAGGACAAGGGUUUUAUAUGUGUGUUUAAAACAAAGGCGAAGCUAGACGCGAGUUGCCGGGAAAGGGCCGCUUUUAUUUUAAAGUUCUUGAAGAAUUCACUUUCUUUUCUCCCAAGUUAGCUGCAGCUGAGCCAGAAGCGUCCCCACUGGCUUACCCGAUAGUGGGAUUUUACACGGUGUCGGCUAAGGGUGGCUUUGUGAGAAGACCAUUUCAGAAGAAGAAACGGGGCUCUGGCUGGUGGGGUAGAAACCCCUAUGGAAUGAAAAGUACUCCCAGUCUCUUUGAGGAAGAUUGCAAAGUAAGGUGGGUUGUUUUUCUUUUGUCCCAUCCUUCCCACCCCUUAAAUUAGAAGAAAAGGCCCCCAAGCGUGCAGCACCAGGUGGACGUUUGGAAGCUGCGAGUGGAAUCUCGUUUAAAAACUUCCGGCCCCACGCACACCAAGUAUCCAUCUUCGUCGUAGUUGGGGUGAGGAAGAGUGUGACUUCCCUACCCAGAGUCUGGUUGAGCACGGAUCCCGCCGAGGAGAGAAGGGUCCCGGCCGGGGGGAAGGUCCCUCUUUCUGGGACAAAGCGAUCCUUAAUUGUGGCCACCUUCCAAAGUCCGGGGCGAAUUCGCUACGCGCGUCUGCCCGGGCGGCGCUUGGUGGGUAGUCCCGCUUCCACCAAAACUCUGUGUUUCCUUUCUCUCAAAAUAAAACUCAACAAGCCAUAAAGCUUCCGACGCCGGUGGAGAAGGCGCCGCGGAUUUAUGGCCCCUGAAUUCCCUACUCUCUAAUUAUCCUUGUUUUUACUUGACUUAUGGGUAGUGACCAAUAAAAUCAUUUUCCAUUU
rnacentral:lncRNA from 1 species